AUGAAUUUGUGGGGCUUUUACAUGCAGAUGGUGGAAUGGAACUCAGGACCUUCUUGCUGUGCGGCAACAGUGCUAACCACCGUGGGACCGUGCUGCCCCAAAUUCAUGCCAGCUGGUUCAGUCCUAACUGCCUAUAAGGUCAUCAGAAGGAGCUGUUCACACAGGCAUGAAAUGCCCUCGACCACACCAAUAACCUGCAUGGUUACAGCCUUUGGAAGGUAGAAUUUCCCCCACAACAAGAAAAUUAUUUGGUAAACGGUGUCCUCGAGCCCUGCUUCCCUCAAUGUGGCACCAGCUGGGUUCUUUAAUAGGAAAUGCUCACCUUUAUCUGAAGAUACACACUGUGAAAUACCUGCUCUGGAUUCCUCACCUGCAACAUAUGGCAACACAUGCAGUUUCUUUAAGGAUGGAAAAUAAUUAUUUCAGCUUUAUUUUUACAUGAGACAGAAAUGAUUGUACUGUACUUUUUUCUCUUUUGACAGGUGGGACAUGAGACACAACAGGAAGGUUAUGUUUCAACCUGAAAGACAGAAGAGAUUAUGAUUGUAAUAAAGUUUAUAAGAAGAGUUUUCCUUUUAUAAUCCAUUGUCAUUGUUUCUCUCGUGCUCCAGUAGCCCCAGUCAGUCAGCCUCACUGUAUGGAGCUAAAUGCCAGUAAUUACUGUUAUGUCUAUUCUCCUGAAGUCAUAGCAUCACAGUAAUUUGUUUUGUAUGUUCAGAAGCUUUGUGCUUGGGAUAUAAGUUGCCAUUUCUGCACUAAACCAUCUACAAUCCUGAGUCUGUACAUCCUGUGAGUGUUUGGUUCAAGGCUUCAGUCUACAGUCAGAGUCAGGUCCUCAUCCUCAGCCACAACAGUGGUUGUUACUGUCUAUCGACAUUUAAGUAUGUUGACUGUUAUUUGUUUCAUUUCACUUCUGUGUAUCUCUUCUCCCUCUGUGUGAAAGGUGGUCAUCAAUAACCCACAUAGCAAGCAGGUCUGGCCCGUAUCUGGCAA
rnacentral:lncRNA from 1 species